rnacentral:rRNA from 1 species
CCUACGGGAGGCAGCAGUGAGGAAUAUUGGUCAAUGGCCGGAAGCCUGAACCAGCCAAGCCGCGUGAAGGACGAAGGUGCCAAGCAUUGUAAACUUCUUUUGUCAAGGGACAAAAUCAGGCUCUAGAGCCUGACCGAGGGUACUUGAAGAAAAAGCAUCGGCUAACUCCGUGCCAGCAGCCGCGGUAAUACGGAGGAUGCGAGCGUUAUCCGGAUUUAUUGGGUUUAAAGGGUGCUUAGGCGGACUGUUAAGUCAGCGGUAAAAGCCCGGGGCUCAACCCCGGCGAGCCGUUGAAACUGGCUGGCGUGAGGUGGAGGGAAGUACGCGGAAGGCGCGGUGGAGCGGUGAAA